CAGAAAUUCCGGGGUGUAUUCCAGAAAGCAGGUGAAGUGAUUUACCCGUGGCAAGUUUACUCAGAAUAAGCCGAUAACUUUCAGGGUAUGUUAGUAGCCAUAGAAACUUAAUAAUAACUCCGGAGUAGGUUAUGUUCCAGAGUUAGUUUAUUUCAGGUAGAUGUUAGUACGUUUCAGAGGCUGUCAGCGCAUGCGUGCCCUUUUUAAUAGCGGCACAGUGGGCGAGAAAGUUCAGAUUACACACAAUACGGAUUCCCAAAUGUCAUUGGAUGCAUUGAUGGAACCCACAUUCCUAUUAAAGCUCCUUCAGUCAAUGAAGGAGUCUAUGUUAAUAGGAAGUCAUUCCAUAGCAUCAAUGCCCAGGUAAUAUGUGAUGCAUCCCACCUCAUCACAAAUGUUGAAGCCAAAUGGCCAGUGUCUCUACGCGAUGCCAGAAUUUUCCGGGAGUCAUCAUUGUGCCACAAAUUUGAACAAGGAAACUUCAGUGGUUACUUGCUGGGGGACAGAGGGUACCCCUGUCUGCCCUAUAUGAUGAUCCCCUACCCUGAGCCUGGACCACAGACACGAUUUAAUCUGGGCCACAUCAGAACACGGGCUAAGGUGGAAAUGACCAUUGGCAUCCUGAAGGCCAGGUUUCAGUGCCUGCGUGGGCUCAGGGUCAGUCCAGAAAGAGCAUGUGACAACACAAUGGCAUGUGUGGUUCUUCACAACAUUGCCACAAUAAGAGGCAAGAGGGCCCCCUUCUCUUUAUGAAGAUGGUCAAGAGGAACCCCCAGUGAACCUAGUGGACCAAACAGAUGGAAGGGUUGUACAGGAUGUGAUCUGCCAAAAACUCUUUUAAAUUGAAUGAAUAAUGCACAGAGUGAACAGUCAAUUGUUUUUAUAGUUUCUUUAUUUCCUGUAAUAAAAAGACAUUUGUAUUUAUUGCUUUACCAUUCAAUAACAAAUGACAGAUUAAUCAUCACUUGACAAAUACAGUUCUCACCUUUA